AAGUCGUAACAAGAUACCCGUAGGUGAACCUGCGGGUGGAUCAUUAUCGAAACUUUCGCCGCGUGCGAGAGAUGUCUGUGAAUCACCUCGGUCUUCCGUCUGCCCGGAUAGGGCCGAGAAACCGGUGCCGGAGUCUUGAUGUGGGCAAGACGAAGGUUGCCAUUUGAACGCAUUUAAGAUGCCGAGACAUAGUGUACCUGGUACGCUUAACGAUGAACGCCCUGGUGACGGGGCGGGAUUCAAACCUCUAUACAACUCUAAGCAGUGGAUCACUCGGCUCACGG
rnacentral:misc_RNA from 1 species